rnacentral:misc_RNA from 1 species
UUAGAGAUUCCAAAUGGUGAAAAAUUGGCUGAGGCACUUCACUCCAGGGGUGUUCCCUAUGUUAUAUAUUGGAAAAAUACACUUUCAUGUUAUGCAGCUUCACACUUUCGUCAAGCUCUAUUGUCAGUGGUACAAAGUUCUUGCAGCCAUACGUGUGAUGCAUUCCAACUUGCUCAUGCAUCCUUUAGGCUCUACUGUGUCAGAAACAACAGUGUCUUAACUUCCAAUGGCCAAAAAGUUAGUGGUAAACCUGGACCACGCUUACUUGGGGAUCCACCAAAGAUUGACAUUACUCUUCCUGAGGCGGAUGUUCAGGAUGAAGAAAGUUCUUCUGG